GCUUAACGCGAAGAACCUUACCAAGGCUUGACAUACACCAGAACACCCUAGAAAUAGGGGACUCUUUGGACACUGGUGAACAGGUGGUGCAUGGUUGUCGUCAGCUCGUGUCGUGAGAUGUUGGGUUAAGUCCCGCAACGAGCGCAACCCUCGUUCUAUGUUGCCAGCACGUAAUGGUGGGAACUCAUGGGAUACUGCCGGGGUCAACUCGGAGGAAGGUGGGGAUGACGUCAAAUCAUCAUGCCCCUUAUGUCUUGGGCUUCACGCAUGCUACAAUGGCCGGUACAAAGGGCUGCAAUACCGUGAGGUGGAGCGAAUCCCAAAAAGCCGGUCCCAGUUCGGAUUGAGGUCUGCAACUCGACCUCAUGAAGUCGGAGUCGCUAGUAAUCGCAGAUCAGCAACGCUGCGGUGAAUACGUUCCCCGGGUCUUGUACAC
rnacentral:rRNA from 1 species